UACGAAGGGGGGCUAGCGUUGCUCGGAAUGACUGGGCGUAAAGGGCGCGUAGGCGGUUCAUACAGUCAGAUGUGAAAUUCCCCGGGCUUAACCUGGGGGCUGCAUUUGAUACGUGUGGGCUUGAGUGAGGAAGAGGGUUGUGGAAUUCCCAGUGUAGAGGUGAAAUUCGUAGAUAUUGGGAAGAACACCGGUGGCGAAGGCGGCAUCCUGGACCAUUACUGACGCUGAGGAGCGAAAGCCAGGGGAGCAAACGGG
rnacentral:rRNA from 1 species